rnacentral:rRNA from 1 species
UGGGGAAUAUUGGGCAAUGGGCGCAAGCCUGACCCAGCAACGCCGCGUGAAGGAAGAAGGUCUUCGGAUUGUAAACUUCUGUCAUUGGGGACGAAGGAAGUGACGGUACCCGAUGAGGAAGCCCCGGCUAACUACGUGCCAGCAGCCGCGGUAAUACGUAGGGGGCGAGCGUUGUCCGGAAUUACUGGGCGUAAAGGGUGCGUAGGCGGCGAUGCAAGUCCAUUGUGAAAAGCCCGGGCUUAACCUGGGAGGUGCAGUGGAAACUGCAUGGCUUGAGUGCAGGAGAGGAAAGCGGAAUUCCUAGUGUAGCGGUGAAAUGCGUAGAUAUUAGGAGGAACACCAGUGGCGAAGGCGGCUUUCUGGACUGUAACUGACGCUGAGGCACGAAAGCGUGGGGAGCAAACA